rnacentral:rRNA from 1 species
AACGAACGCUGGCGGCAUGCCUAACACAUGCAAGUCGAACGAGACCUUCGGGUCUAGUGGCGCACGGGUGCGUAACGCGUGGGAACCUGCCCUUAGGUUCGGAAUAACUCCCCGAAAGGGGUGCUAAUACCGGAUAAUGUCUUCGGACCAAAGAUUUAUCGCCUUUGGAUGGGCCCGCGUUGGAUUAGCUAGUUGGUAGGGUAAAAGCCUACCAAGGCGACGAUCCAUAGCUGGUCUGAGAGGAUGAUCAGCCACACUGGGACUGAGACACGGCCCAGACUCCUACGGGAGGCAGCAGUGGGGAAUAGUGGACAAUGGGCGAAAGCCUGAUCCAGCAAUGCCGCGUGAGUGAUGAAGGCCUUAGGGUUGUAAAGCUCUUUUAACCGGGAUGAUAAUGACAGUACCGGGAGAAUAAGCUCCGGCUAACUCCGUG